rnacentral:lncRNA from 1 species
UCAAAUGUACGUGAAUUCCAUUCCAUCCAUAGAUCAUAUGAUACUUCAGCAAUCACCAUUUAGAAUAUACUGGCUCUGCAUGAUUUCCAUUUAGCUUUACUGAUGAUCCAAUGGAGUCUUUGAUCCCAGGUAUGUGUCUUUGGUUGAUCCUCUUGAAUCCAUUGCAUUGCUUGCUCCCAUAGCUCUGCUGAAAAUGGCAAUGAUAGAAAUAGAUGAUCUCUUGUCUCUGUAUGACCUUGGCACAAAACAUAUUGCUGAUCUAUGUUCAUUCCCCAGUUUGUUAGUAUGCCCUUGGUUGGUAAUCUUCUAUGUAGCACUAACCAUAGAUUGAACACAGCUUUAGGUCUAGCAUAGUUCUACAUGAUUAGGUUCUUCCAUGGAACUCACAGAAGGGCUCCUAGCUGCGAUAGAUAUAUUUGAUUGAUGGAGAAUUCAUGCAUCCUCAAGCCUUGGAGUUGCUGCAGGAUACCUCUUGAUGUUAUUAUUCUCCUGACUAUCCAACUUGCCUGUUUAGGGAUUGGCAUAUCCUCUAACUGAUGAUAUUUUACAUAGAAAGCAUUUAUCCACCUGAUCCACAUCUUGUCUUUUUUGUGAGCUAGAUCCCAACAAAUCUUUGCAAUUGCAGCCUUGUUCCAUGACAAGAGAUUGAUAAGAAUCAUUCCACCAGCUGAUUUAGGUGUACACAUUCUCUCCCAAGACCAGAUAUAGCUUCUUUAGUAAUGGAAUUUGAUCCAGACCAGAUAUAGCUUCUACAGAUUGCUUCAAUUAUCUUCAUUACUUUGAUUGGUAUGAUGAAGGGUUGAGCCCAAUAUGAUUGGAUUCCAAAUACCACAGAUUGAACUAAUUGCAGCCUCUUACCAUAGGAUAAUUUAUUGGCAGUCCAUGAUGUGAUCUUAGCAGUAAUCUUCUCCACUAAUGGUUUCCAUUAAAUCAAGGCAAUCUUCUUGGUGGAUAGGGGAAUACCUAGAUAUUUGAAUGGUAAUUCUCCAUGUACAAAUACAAGGUGGCCAAUAAUUUGCUUCUUCACUUCCUGUUUAACUCCCCCAAAAUACACUGAGCUUUUGCCCAGAUUAGCCUGCAUACCUAAAGCUUCAGAGAAUUGAGAGAAGUAUUGGAACAUGGCUAUGAUAGAAUCAAGGUCUCCUUUAGCAAACAAUAGUAAGUCAUCAGCAAAGCCCAUUAGAGAAUUGAGAGAAGUAUUGGAACUUGUCUAUGAUAGAAUGAAGGUCUCCUUUAGCAAACAAUAAUAAGUCAUCAGCAAAGCUCAGGUGAGUAAUACCUACCUCUUUACAUCUAGGGUGAUAUUGAAAUGUUGGCUCUUUCUUUAACUCAGCUAAUGAUCUACUAAGGUACUCCAUCACUAUUGCAAAUAGGAAGGGGGAUAUUGGAUCCCCUUGUCUAAGUCCUCUAGCAUCUUCAAAUGGCUCUGUUGCUUCUCCAUUAAUCAGCACUGAAAAGCUAACUAUUUUUAUACUCUCCAUGAUCCAGUUAAUGAAUCUGGUUUGAAAUCCAAUCCCCUCCAUCACUUGUUGUAGGAAAAUCCACUCAAUUGAGUCAUAUGCUUUAUGAAGAUCAAUUUUAAUCAUGCAUCUAGGGGUCACAUGGGCUCUGGUAUAGCUUUUGACUAACUCAUGUGCCACGAUGACAUUAUCAGCUAUUUUCUUGCCUGGAAUAAACCCUUCUUGAGCCUCACAAAUGAUAUUGGGCAUGAUUUUUUGUAGUCUGUUGGCCAGGAUUUUACAGAUCAUUUUAUAUAGGACUGAGAAACAUGCAAUUAUUCUAUACUCUUUAACUGUGGUGGGUUUGGAGACUUUGGGGAUUAAGGUAAUAAUGGCACAAUUUAUUGACUUGUACAUAUUGGUUGUUAGAAAGAACUCCUUGAUGGAACUUAUGACCUGCCUACUAAUAGUGUUCCAAGACUUCUUAAAGAAUACAACAUUGUAGCCAUCUAUUCCUAGGGCUUUAUCAUCUCCAAUUGCUUUUAGACUCUCCACAAUUUCAAGAUCAGUGAUAUCAACACAUAACUCCCUUCUCUGGGGGCUUUAUCAUCUCCCAUUGCUUUACAUUCUUCACAAUUUCAAGAUCAGUGAUAUCAACACAUAACUCCUUUCUCUCUUGUUGUGUUAGCAUUGGACAAUUAGACAUAUACAGUCUAUUUAUGGCUGGAAGAGAUGCAGAUGUUGAGCCCAUUAGUGACUUGUAAAAUCCAAUGAUCUCUCUUUUGAUGUCUGCAUGUGCAUUUACAUUAACUCCCAUUGCGUUUGUGAGUACUAUGAUCUGCUUCCUUUUUGUUCUUUCCUUCAGAACUGCAGUAAAGUACUUGGUAUUAGAAUCUCCAAGUUGUAUCUAUUUUGCUCUAGCCUUCUGAUGUAAUACACUUUCUUCACUCAAUGACCAUCUUUCCAGCUUCAAUACUAUCUCUUUCUCUUUCUGCUGCAACUCAUCAAAAUUUGCCCUUACCAUUUAUUCUUGAACUUCUUUCAGUUCCUGUCUGGUAUGCUCUAUCCUCUGAAUAAUACUCUUGAACUCCUUCACAUUUAAGGCCUUUAAAGGGCCUUUAAAUGCUUUGAGUUUAGACCAUAUCACUUUCAUAGGUCCAGGAUUGGUAGAGUACCAGACAUUUGCCACAAUCUGAUGAAAUUCCUCAUGCUCAAUCCAUACAUUGAAAAAUUUGAAAGGUAUCUUACCUCUCCAAGAAGAUGCUACGAGUGUCACUAUCAUAGGAUUAUGGUCAGAGAUUAGUGGUUGUUCAUAUACUGUUUCCACAUGGCUCCACUUGAUCAUCAACUCAUAGUUUCCAAAUACUCUAUCCAGCCUGCUACAUACUCUAUCUACUUCAGGCUAUUUGUUUGUCCAGGUAUAGUAAUCACCCUUCCAAGGUAGCUCUGAUAGUCCUGCUUGCUGUAUACAUUGACUAAACUCUUGAGUUUCAUAAUAUCUAACAAUAUUACAUGAUUUUCUAUCCUUGGUAUAUAAUAUAGCAUUGAAAUCCCCAGCAACUAACCAUGCAUCUGUUAUUAGAAUAUCUAACAAGAUUAAAUGAUUGUCUAUCCUUGGCAUAUAAUACAACAUUGAAAUCCCCAGCAACUAACCAUGCAUCUGUUACAGCUGAUGAAUAGGACUAUAAGUUUCUCCAUAAAGAUCUUCUUUGUUCUAUUCCAUUGUACCCAUAUACCACAGUGAGGUAACAAGUAACAUCCUCUUUUAUGCUUCUAACUUUGCAAUGUAUCAGUUGAGAUUCCUCCUGAAUACCCGUAACUUUAAACAUAUUUGUAUCCCAUAAAAUCCACACUCUACCAUUUCUAGUAUCAUUGUAAUUUGUUAGAAUACCCCAUCCAGGAACUAGCAGAUUAGCAAUUCUAAUAGCAUUUGUUUUUUUUACCUUAGUUUCUACCAAGCCAACUAGGUUUAUUGUAUAUUUCUCCUAAUAUACUCCCUAAUUUUCUUUUGUUUGUACCUUUUAUUUACACCUCUAAUAUUCCAUAAUAACCACUUCAUUAGCAAUUGCUUGGUCCACCCCUAUCCCCUGGUGGAACCUCAUGCUUACUAUUGGAUACUGCUCAAAAUCUAUUGCGUACAGUAAUGGGAGACAAAGGUGGAAAAUUGAUGAGAUUGAAUUCUGGACUCUGAACUUUCUUCCCUUUCUCUUCCUGUUUUUCCUUCUCUGUUAUCAUAUUUGGGGAUUCAUUAGGCUCUUUAUGAACUUCAUUCUUCUCAUUUGCGACACUCUGUUGUGCUAUUGCCUCUUUUUGAAUAGGAACAAUUUGCACUGGGGCCUUGGUUCUCCAUUCCUGCAUUACUUUUGCCUUUUUCACUUGGGUAGGCUGGUGUGUAUUUGGUUUCAUUUGGACUGAACAGCUAUGGCCAAUAGUUUGACACUUUUCAUAGUAGGAGGGUUUCCAGUCAUAGACCAUAUCUUGUAGGAAUUUCUUCCCAUUUGGAUCCAUCACCCAUAUUUCUCUUGGUAACUCUAUAGUGACAUUAAUCUCUAUAAGCAUUCGAGUAUAGGAGACUCUUGUUUGUUUGGUUGUGCAUUCAUUCGCAAAGAUAGGCUUUCCUAAGACACUUGCAAUCCUACUUAAUGAUCUCAUUCCCCAACAAGACAUGCGAAGCUUAGGAAAUUUUACCCAUAGAAGAAUAUCAGUAGGGAAUUCCUCUGCGAAAUCAAAAUCUGGAGUCCAUUGUUUAAGGAUCAUAGGUCUGUUUGCUAUAGAAUAAGGCCCUGCAUAUAGAAUUUCCUUAGCAUCUUCAAUUGUUUUGAACUUAAUUGUGUAGUAACCUUACUCAUGGUAAUACAAGUCUGGUUCUGGAACAUGUGACCAGUGAAGGUUAAUAAACCUCUUCAUNNNNNNNNNNNNNNNNNNNNNNNNNNNNNNNNNNNNNNNNNNNNNNNNNNNNNNNNNNNAGGUUAAUAAACCUCUUCAUCGCAUUGAAACCAGGUCCAUCCCCUAAAAUAUAUACAAUUAAAGCACAUUUCCACUUUUUCUCUUCCUCUUCUACCUCUAAUUUAUUUAAUUGCACUAUUGGUUGCCCAUCAACCAUUAGAGGUGGUAUGUAAUCUAGAGCUAUACCAUUUUUUGCAAAUCUAUUUUUCUGAAAUAGGGUAGCCCAAACCUUUUUGGGUUCUUCAGUUCUGUUUUUGAUGACCUCAGAAUUCUCCAUUAGUUCUAGCGCUGGUUGCGCUUGGACCUGUAUUGACCUCUGCAUGGUUACUGUUCCAUGGGUUGUCUUCUUCAUUAGAUCUGAUUCUGCUCCAAUCUGAGCGGGGGAAGUCAGAUCCAGCUUCUUUGAGACUAUAGACUGGUGCGAUGUCGACCCAGUUGAAUCUCUCUCAUCUACAACUGAUGAAUCUGAGCUCUGCACAGGUGGAACCAUGAUGGCUACUUUCUCCAUAGAUGGUAAUGGUAUCUUACGUGGUCUUCCUCUACCUCUGCCUCUCCCUCUCGCCAUGUUUACAAGCUCGGUGUACGUUUAACUAACGUGCGCCGAGAGCAUGAAGAAGAAGAUUGACAACUGAGCUGUAAUUUUGUUUAUGUUUUCCAGUAGUCG